rnacentral:lncRNA from 1 species
CCAAUUUAACCUUAUGGGACCACCAUCGUAUAUACAAGAAGUCAGUGAUUCAUGCGUCAUCAUGCAGCUCACGACCGUGUAAGAAAAGGUUUCUGGAUAGGACUUUUGGACAAGCUAUUUAAAAGAGGUUGAUCAAAAGGAAGAAAGGAAAGAAAGAAAGGAAUGAUCAAUGCACAGGAAUGGGUUUGAAAAGAGAUUGCCCAGUCUCUUCAGAUGACUGCAGUCACGACUGACAACUUGGUGCAACUUCAUGAGAGAUACUGAGCCACAACCACCCAGCUAAGUCAUGUUCACAUUCCUAACCCUCAGAAACUGUGUGAAAU